UACGUAGGGUCCGAGCGUUGUCCGGAAUUAUUGGGCGUAAAGAGCUCGUAGGCGGUUUGUCGCGUCUGCUGUGAAAUCCCGAGGCUCAACCUCGGGCCUGCAGUGGGUACGGGCAGACUGGAGUGCGGUAGGGGAGAAUGGAAUUCCUGGUGUAGCGGUGGAAUGCGCAGAUAUCAGGAAGAACACCGAUGGCGAAGGCAGGUCUCUGGGCCGAUACUGACGCUGAGGAGCGAAAGCGUGGGGAGCGAACAGG
rnacentral:rRNA from 1 species